GGGCUCACACAAGCGGUGGAGCAUGUGGCUUAAUUCGAAGCAACGCGAAGAACCUUACCUGGGUUUGACAUGUAUGGAUACUGCCUUGGAAACAGGGUUAGUUGCCUUCGGGUGAAACUUACACAGGUGCUGCAUGGUUGUCGUCAGCUCGUGCCGUGAGGUGUUGGGUUAAGUCCCGUAACGAGCGAAACCCUUGCUGUUAGUUGCCAGCGAGUAAUGUCGGGCACUCUAACAGGACUGCCGGCGUUAAGCCGGAGGAAGGUGGGGAUGACGUCAAAUCAUCAUGGCCUUUAUGCCCAGGGAUGCACACGUGCUACAAUGCCUGGUACAAAGCGACGCUUAGCCGCGAGGUGAAGCAAAUCGCAAAAAACCAGGCCCAGUUCAGAUUACAGUCUGCAACUCGACUGUAUGAAGUUGGAAUCGCUAGUAAUCGCGUAUCAGCUACGACGCGGUGAAUGUGUUCCUGAGCCUU
rnacentral:rRNA from 1 species